ensembl:lncRNA novel transcript
CCCCCCCGCCGGUAGCCAUCUUCGUGCAUAGGCAAACUUAUUGUAGCUAGACUGUACAAAGUAUAUCAAGAUAUGCCAAAUAUUGAGCUUAACUUCACCUGUUUGAGAGACGGUGUUUCUUUUAGCUUGCAACACCAUGAAAAAAUUACUGAGACACUAGGAAUGCUGUGAACUGAGAAAGUUUGGGACCUUUGGCAUAACUAAAUCCUUCAUUUAACAGAUGGAGUCUCAGUCUGUCACUAAGGCUGGAGUGCAGUGGCGCGAUCUCGGCUCACUGCAACCUCCACCUCCCGGGUUCACGCGAUUCUCCAGCCUCAGCCUUCCACGUAGCUGGGACUACAGGUGCAUGCCACCACACCCAGUGUUGUGAACCACUUGUCAUGGGAUAACCAAAAUUAAACCUGGAAUCGCAGAAGAAACAAAUUUUUUGAAGAAAUUGGAUGUACUUUUUUAAAAUUUUUCAUUCAACUAAAACUUUGUUAACUGUUUCUUGGUUGUGGUCUUCUCUAAAUUGUAAUCUUUGGCAUUCACUUCCAAAGUAUCCACCACUAAACUUCAUAACAUUUAUUGUGUCUCUUCAUCAUUAAACUUUGAUGAAUUUA